rnacentral:rRNA from 1 species
GACGAACGCUGGCGGCGUGCCUAAUACAUGCAAGUCGAACGCUGACGGAGGAGCUUUCUUCUCUGUUUGAGUUGCGAACGGGUGAGUAACGCGUAGGUAACCUGCCUGUUAUCGGCGGUUAACUAUUGGUACCGAUUGCUAUUACCUCAUAUGUGUAGUUGUUGCCUGACAUUUGCUUAAUAGUUGCAAUUUUAUCACUACCAGUUGGUCCUGCGUUGUUUUGGCUUGUUGGUGAGGUUACGGCGCACCCAGGCAACGAUACAUAUCCGACCUGAGAGGGGGAUCGGCCACAAGGGGACUGGGACAGGGCCCAGACUCCUACGGGAGGCAGCAGGAGGGAAUCAUCGGGAAAGGACGGAAGACGGACCGAAGAACGCCGCGGGAGGGAAGAAGGUGGUCGGAACGUAAAGCUCUGUUGAAAGAGAAGAAAGAGGGUGAGAGUGGAAAGGUCACAGUGUGACGGUAACUUACCAGAAAGGGACGGCUAACUACGUG